ACAGCAGUCGCCGCGGUAAUACGAAGGGGGCUAGCGUUGUUCGGAAUUACUGGGCGUAAAGCGCACGUAGGCGGAUAUUUAAGUCAGGGGUGAAAUCCCAGAGCUCAACUCUGGAACUGCCUUUGAUACUGGGUAUCUUGAGUAUGGAAGAGGUGAGUGGAAUUCCGAGUGUAGAGGUGAAAUUCGUAGAUAUUCGGAGGAACACCAGUGGCGAAGGCGGCUCACUGGUCCAUUACUGACGCUGAGGUGCGAAAGCGUGGGAAGCAAACAGGAUUAGAUACCCCCGUAGUCCCUGUCUCUUAUAC
rnacentral:rRNA from 1 species